rnacentral:rRNA from 1 species
GCUGGCGGCGUGCCUCAGACAUGCAAGUCGAACGCGAAAGUCCCUUUCGGGGGACAAGUAGAGUGGCGUCCGGGUGAGUAACACGUAGGUAAUCUACCUUCGGGUGGGGAAUAACGCAGGGAAACUUGCGCUAAUACCGCAUAAUGCAGCGGCACCACAUGGUGACAGUUGUUAAAGCGGGGGAUUUUCGAACCUCGCGCCUGAAGAGGAGCCUGCGGCAGAUUAGCUAGUUGGUAGGGUAACGGCUUACCAAGGCGACGAUCUGUAGCCGGCCUGAGAGGGCGGUCGGCCACACUGACACUGACAUACGGGUCAGACUCCUACGGGAGGCAGCAGUCGGGAAUUUUGGGCAAUGGGCGAAAGCCUGACCCAGCAACGCCGCGUGAAGGAUGAAAUCCCUCGGGAUGUAAACUUCGCAAGAAUGGGAAGAAUAGACGAGUACUAAUACUGCUCGUGAUGACGGUACCAUUUGUAAGCUCCGGCUAACUCCGUGCCAGCAGCCGCGGUAAUACGGGGGGAGCAAGCGUUGUUCGGAUUUACUGGGCGUAAAGGGCGCGUA